GGAAGGGUGGCAGAGUGGUCGAAUGCACACGCUUGGAAAGCGUGCAUAGGAGCAAUUCUAUCAGGGGUUCGAAUCCCCUCCCUUCCGCCA
rnacentral:tRNA from 1 species